rnacentral:misc_RNA from 1 species
GAUGAAGAACGCAGCGAAAUGCGAUAAGUAAUGUGAAUUGCAGAAUUCCGUGAAUCAUCGAAUCUUUGAACGCACAUUGCGCCCCCUGGCAUUCCGGGGGGCAUGCCUGUCCGAGCGUCAUUUCUGCCCUCAAGCACGGCUUGUGUGUUGGGUGUGGUCCCCCCGGGGACCUGCCCGAAAGGCAGCGGCGACGUCCGUCUGGUCCUCGAGCGUAUGGGGCUCUGUCACUCGCUCGGGAAGGACCUGCGGGGGUUGGUCACCACCAUGUUUUACCACGGUUGACCUCGGAUCAGGUAGGAGUUACCCGCUGAACUUAAGCAUAUCAAUAAGCGGAGG